CGGGCUUUUUCGAGGUCCAGGAUCUGGAGGCCGGAGAAGUCGUUGGCGCCGGCAGCAACCAGCGUCGGCGAGAGCGCGAGGAGGGAGUCCACCGCGGUGAAGUGGGUGAGGACGGUGGCCUUGCGGCGGAGGGACCAGUCGAAGGAGGUGAUCUUGCUGCCGUGCGCGACGUGGAGGGCGCCGCAGGCGCCGUCGGCGGCGAGGGCGGAGGGGGAGUCGCGGCCGUUGAGUGGCAAAAGGAGAGAUUUUUGGAGGUUGAAAGGUUCCAGCUGAGAAGGGUUGGAGAGGGAAUUGACGAGGAGGGUUUCGAUGCCGUAGAAUUUGGACUCGAUAAUUAGGUCUUGGAUAUCGAAAGCUUUGGCCUUUGAGGGAAGGUUUCCGGUGCGGAGGAGAGAGAGG
rnacentral:lncRNA from 1 species